CUAUUUCAAAUUUCAAGUUUUAAUACCAUCCAGAAUUCCAAAGGACUAAUGAUGAAAUAGGCUACCCAAGUCUUUACAGAGAGGUGAUGGGCUUGAGAUGUAGAAUGAAAUCUGCAUUUUUGGACACAGUCAACAUGGAAAUUUGUUUUGCUAGACUACUGUUAGGAGAGGAUUUGGAAACUUCUUUGCUCAUUCUGGUAAUUGGCCCAUAUAUGCCCACUCUGCUUUCUUGGAACCUCAUCAAGUUGUUCCUGCAGUUCUGGAAGCCUGGUGCUCUGGAAAGAACUAGGCUAAACUACAUGGUUGGAUGUGUGAGAGCCUUGAUAAAUAAUGACCCUAUCCCAGCAGAGAAAAAAGAGAGAAAAUAAGAUGGUGACAGUUUCAAUUUACUUUCACAAGGUGAGUAUGGGG
rnacentral:lncRNA from 1 species